AUGUUUCUUUUUUUAUUCCCCCUCCAUUUUUUUGUUGCUUUACCCAGAACACCUUAGAUAUGCACAUAAUAGUUCUCGUUAUUUUGUACUCAACUUUUACUCAUAAGGUAGCAGUACAGAAUGCUAGUAUGCCACAAUUGUUAUUUUUUAUGUAUGAAUAUGAGAUGGUGACUAAUUAUUGCUUACAGCCACAUGUGGAUAACUACUGCUAAAAAGGACUGUCCAAAACCUAAAUGUUAAAGCUACUAUUUUUUGUGUUCUUGUGCAGUAGGGUUAUAGUUGUUACAAUUUUUGAAAUUCAAUUUUCAUUAUUAAAUCAAAUGAAGAUUAGUCCAAUUUCUAGAAGAAGAUGAAGGGCAAAAAAAAUCACAGACAAAACAAUUAGGAAAGAUUUGUGAAGCUUUGUUUGUUGUAAUUUUCAUUGCCAUGUUUGUCAUUUUCAGGGAGGAAUUCAAGGAUGAGGGAACUGUUGAUGUCAAAUCUUUGGACAUCCGAAACUUCAUUUAAGAUCUUCUUCAUGAUGUUUGCGUAUAUUCAAAAUUAUUGCAUUUGGAUAAUGGUGAAAACCUUGUUUCUUCAAUAAAUGUACACCACUGAUUUGGAAGGGCAACACCAAUGCCAUUUUGAAGAGUUUUGAGUUUUCAAGGUUCUUUAUAUUCCAAAUUCCUUCUGAAAACUGGAAGUUAAAGCUAUCAAAAUUUUCUGAUUUUUGUGCUGUCAUGUUGUAUCUAAGUAUUUAUUCUUGCUGAGAUCUUAUGCAUGUUCCAGUUUUGAUAUUUUCCAUAUAUUAGUUGAACAUUGGUGAUUCCAGCAACUAUGUUCUUUCAAAGGAUUUUAUUUUAUUUUUAUCAGCAACUGAAGUUUCUUAAACCCAACAAUUAUGUUUGAUAACAUGAAUAAGCAAAUAUACCACACUUAGCUAUGGAUCCAAGCUCCAAGUGUAAACAUAUCUACUUAUGAGAUUAUUUCUAGGAUGCUCAAUUCUCAUAGGCUAAGUGGUCAUUCAUUUAUUCGCCAGAGUAAACACAUUAAGCAUAGUAAUCACAAUGAGAGAAGCUGUAAACGCAAAGUAUUUAUGAAAGUGAGCUAGUUUGAAAUAUAUUAUAAAUUCCCAAGAACUAAUGUUUAGCACCUUAAAAUUGUGGAGAUUAUCAUGAUGUUGAUGUGUUGCAUUCUUAUUUCAAAUGUGAAUUUUAACAAAUGUCUGAAACCGGGAUUUGAUUAAGACAUCCAAGAUAAAAAUUAUGUAUUAAAAUUUUGGAUAUUCUAUCAUGUUAGAAGUUCAAAACUGUGAUCUACAAUGUGUCUGUUUAGAUUAUCUAACAUUUUUUAAACCCCUAACAUAGUUUAUUAUAUUAAACAAUAUUGUGAAACCUGAGCCGGAUGUCAAACUGGCAGAUGUCCUGUAUUUGGUUUAACCAGUUUAAACGAUUAAACCGUCUGGUCUGACCGGGUGAUUAAGGCUUCAAAAACUAUGAUGGACUGAAUUUAAAGAAUAGUCCGAUGAGAGAAGGGCCCAACCCAGCCAUGUUGAUACGGGCCAUAGAAGUAGAGUAGCGAAUAAGGUGUGAGUGGGUGUAGCGUAACAUACGGUAGUUCCUUGUUGAAUCUGAAUAACAAAGAAGCCCUAGAGCGUUAGAAUUGAAUAUAGUAAAGUUCAACAGCAUAGAGAGAACGAACACCAACAACAACACUAAAACGUCUUCGUUUCAAUCUCAACAUGGCACUCACUACUCGUCUCUUUUCCAAAUCCAAAUUGGUCUCUCUCUCUCAUUUUUCCUCUUUUAUUAUUCAAUUUCAUUUUAUUCAUUCUCUGCCACUAUCUAGGGUUUGCUUCUCGUAUGCGAUUCAAUUUCUUUUUUACCUUCUCGUUUCUGAAUCUGUUGUCGUAUAUUGAGAUCUACAUAGACACUGUUUUCAUUUUACAUUUGAUUUUUAAGAAUCGAUUUCUGAUUACCUCUCUGAUUUUUUCUUAAAGAAUAUUUUUUUUGAAAAAGAGCGAGAUUUGUCGAUUGUUUUCAAUAAGAUAUCAUUUAAUAAUUUCAGUUUGGGCAAAAGUGGAGGGUACUGAUUUUAUUCAUUUUGGGCAGUCACAAUUUGUAAUUUUGGUUGAGAUAAGGCUACUCAAUACACUGGAUUUGUGAUCUAUCAUCAUAAUUCAUUGCCAUCUUAUUAAAAAAUGACUUGGACUUUGUUAUUUACCUCUUUGCAUAACAUAGUUUGUAACUAAACAUGGAUAAUAUUGUGGAAUGGUUUGCAUCUACACAUACAAUACAUAAGGAGAGAUCCAUUUACAUUGCUGCAAAUGUAAAAGCAUUCCGACAUGUUUUCCCCCUCACAAAAUCCAUCAUUGGAUUGUGAAAAAAUAAUUCAAGUAAGAAUGAAUGCUUUUAGACUAACACGGGUGGAAACAGUCCUUCCUCUCAUAUAUAUAUAUAUAUAUUGUCAAAGUACUUGUGGAGUUCCCCGGAUGUUUUCAUGCUUAAGCACCCUAGUUAGUAAUUAUUUAAUGUGAGAAACUUUUAUUUAUAAAAGUGAUGGGCUUUGUGAUAUGUGCACAUACUGAUUUUUUUUGUGAUGUGCUCAUUUUGCUUUUCUUCUUAAAGGUCUAUGGAAGUCAAGUACUUCUGCAAAAGGAGUAUGCUGUUCCUGUUCGUCACUUUGCUAAAGAGGCUGCCCCUCCCGCCCUUAAGGGAGAUAGUGAGUUCUCUUCGAGUUUUAUUGUUUAUUUUAGAGUUCCUUUACUGAGUUGAUGACUGUACUUUGUUGUUUGUCUAAUUGUUGAUCAAUUAGAAGUGAAAUAUAAUGCCAUUUGCUUCUCUAUUUGAUCCAGUAAUUGGACUUUUAGUUGUUUGUCUAACUAUGUAUCCAUGUUACUUGAGUCUGCUUUAUGUAAAAUUGAAAAAUACAUACACAAUUUGAUCUACAAUAGAAUUUCUAUUCUUUUUAUGCCACUUUCUUACAAUGUACUCUUAAUUUUAUGUAAAUAGCGAUGCUUAAGAACAUCUUUGUGGAGUUGAAGAACAAAUAUGAGACAGCAAUCGGGCUACUAAAGAAGGAGAAGAUCACCAUUGAUCCAGAAGAUCCAGCUGCUGUUUCUCAUUAUGCACAGGUCAUGAAAACAAUCAGGGAGAAGUGAGAUUCCACUAUACCUUUAGUUUUACCAGAAUAUUUUUGUUGAAUAUAUUAUCUGUUAUGUUUUGUAAACUUGCAAACAUUUGUUAUACUUUUUUAAAAUGUUUUAAUUAUGUUAUAACUACAAUUUCCUGUGCAUAUUGCAGGGCAAGCUUAUCCUCAGAGUCCCAACAUAUCCAAGAGUCCAUUGAAACUCAAACCGCAGAUAUUCCUGAUGCCCGAACUUAUCUUCUCACCCUGAAGGAAAUAAGAAUCAAGUAUGUGAUGGUCUAUUCUACUUUCUACAUUCUGUACCUAGGCAAGCUUAUUGAUAUAUUACACCCUUUUAAUUUUUAGUUUAUACUAAGUUCUGUACUAGUUUUGUGAUAUGUAAUAUAGUCUUUUCAUUUCAAUUUACCUUUUUGAGCUCAUUGUCAAACAGUACUUCAGUUUUAACACCUUUGGUUCUAAAAUUUAUCAAAUCUGUUUCUUUUCCUAAAACGUGUAACUACUCUAAAUUACUAUUGGGAUUUACCUGAUUUGUUAUCUUUUGCAAACCUUUGUGUAUAUGUGUGUUUUAUAUAUACAACCGAGAGGAAAGAAAUAAGGAUACACACAUACAUUGCUUCAAUAUGUCUCGUGCUCUCCACUUUAUGAGCUCAUGUGUUGAUUUGUACAUCCUUCACAGGAGUGGUCUUGCAGAUGAUCUUGGUGCAGAGGCUCUGAUGAUAGAGGCAUUGGAAAAAAUUGAAAAGGAUUUAAAAAAACCUCUACUGAGAAAUGACAAGAAGGGAAUGGACCUUCUACUGGCAGAGUUUGAUAAGAUUAACAAGAAGUAAGUUCAUACCUCUACAUUUCUUUUUGAUAUGUUGGGCUAGUAUUGAGUUACAUCUAGAUUGUAGCCUUCCAAUGUUUCAUCUAUACUUAUAAUAUCACAUUUAUAUUGUUGUGGAUUGUGAGCAUGAGAUUCUCUCCAUAAAUAAUUCUGUGGUGAUUUUGUAAUAGAUAAUUUUCUGUUUGAGGCAUUUAUGAUCCAUAAAUCUCAUUGAAUUAGAAAAUUACUUUUUCAAUUAACACCGUAGAGGGGAAAGUUUUUUGUGAUUAGUAUAGAAGAAAAAAAUAUUUAACCUUUUGUAUCAUGUUGAUACUUCUUAGGGAUUUGUUUAGUCUAUAUCUUGUUGUUUGCCAAUUAACAUGCUUCUUCGGCUGGUUUUAAAUUCCUCGUUUAUUAGUGAGGAUUCUGAAGUUUGUAUACCUCUUAAGUUGAACAGAAUGAGUAAUUGGGUUGUGAUUACUUCCCAUUUCUCUUUUCCUCUUUCCUUUUUAACACCGUUGGUGUUGCCACCAGACUUGGAAUUCAGAAAGAAAAUCUACCAAAGUACGAAGAGAAGCUAGAACUUAGCAUUGCCAAAGCACAACUGGAGGAGCUGAAGAAGGAUGCUCUUGAGGCUAUUGAAACUCAAUCAAAGAGGUAUUGCACAUGACACCAUUUAUUACUACAUGUUUCUUUUUUUAUUCCCCCUCCAUUUUUUUGUUGCUUUACCCAGAACACCUUAGAUAUGCACAUAAUAGUUCUCGUUAUUUUGUACUCAACUUUUACUCAUAAGGUAGCAGUACAGAAUGCUAGUAUGCCACAAUUGUUAUUUUUUAUGUAUGAAUAUGAGAUGGUGACUAAUUAUUGCUUACAGCCACAUGUGGAUAACUACUGCUAAAAAGGACUGUCCAAAACCUAAAUGUUAAAGCUACUAUUUUUUGUGUUCUUGUGCAGUAGGGUUAUAGUUGUUACAAUUUUUGAAAUUCAAUUUUCAUUAUUAAAUCAAAUGAAGAUUAGUCCAAUUUCUAGAAGAAGAUGAAGGGCAAAAAAAAUCACAGACAAAACAAUUAGGAAAGAUUUGUGAAGCUUUGUUUGUUGUAAUUUUCAUUGCCAUGUUUGUCAUUUUCAGGGAGGAAUUCAAGGAUGAGGGAACUGUUGAUGUCAAAUCUUUGGACAUCCGAAACUUCAUUUAAGAUCUUCUUCAUGAUGUUUGCGUAUAUUCAAAAUUAUUGCAUUUGGAUAAUGGUGAAAACCUUGUUUCUUCAAUAAAUGUACACCACUGAUUUGGAAGGGCAACACCAAUGCCAUUUUGAAGAGUUUUGAGUUUUCAAGGUUCUUUAUAUUCCAAAUUCCUUCUGAAAACUGGAAGUUAAAGCUAUCAAAAUUUUCUGAUUUUUGUGCUGUCAUGUUGUAUCUAAGUAUUUAUUCUUGCUGAGAUCUUAUGCAUGUUCCAGUUUUGAUAUUUUCCAUAUAUUAGUUGAACAUUGGUGAUUCCAGCAACUAUGUUCUUUCAAAGGAUUUUAUUUUAUUUUUAUCAGCAACUGAAGUUUCUUAAACCCAACAAUUAUGUUUGAUAACAUGAAUAAGCAAAUAUACCACACUUAGCUAUGGAUCCAAGCUCCAAGUGUAAACAUAUCUACUUAUGAGAUUAUUUCUAGGAUGCUCAAUUCUCAUAGGCUAAGUGGUCAUUCAUUUAUUCGCCAG
rnacentral:lncRNA from 1 species